rnacentral:rRNA from 1 species
GACGAACGCUGGCGGCGUGCCUAACACAUGCAAGUCGAACGGAGUUAUCCUUCGGGGUAACUUAGUGGCGAACGGGUGAGUAACGCGUGAGAAACCUGCCUCCCAGUGGGGGACAACGGUUGGAAACGACUGCUAAUACCGCAUAACACUUUAGUACCGCAUGGUACAGAAGUCAAAGCUUUAUGUGCUGAGAGAUGGUCUCGCGUCUGAUUAGCUAGAUGGCGGGGUAACGGCCCACCAUGGCGACGAUCAGUAGGCGGUCUGAGAGGAUGAACGGCCACAUGGUGACUGAGAUACGGCCCAAACUCCUACGGGAGGCAGCAGUAGGGAAUAUUGGGCAAUGGGGGAAACCCUGACCCAGCAACGCCGCGUGAAGGAAGAAGGCCUUCGGGUUGUAAACUUCUUUUACCAGGGACGAAGAACGUGACGGUACCUGGAGAAAAAGCAACGGCUAACUACGUGCCAGCCGCCGCCGUAAUAC